UUUCCGUAGGUGAACCUGCGGAAGGAUUAUUAUCAUGUAAUUCAGUCCCCUUGGCUGUGUUAUAUAUAUACCCACUCUGUGUACCUUCUCCUGUUGCUUCCGCUGGGUGUGUAAUUCGCCCGGCGGAAGGGUAAAAAUAACCUCUGAGUAUUGAUGAAAUCUCUGUCUGAACCGAAUAGAAAGAAAAAUGUUAAAACUUUCAGCAACGGAUCUCUUGGUUCUC
rnacentral:misc_RNA from 1 species